GUGGCAGUGACGCACAGACGGGAAGUAACCCUCAGCCCAAACCACCACCUUGUACUCACCCGGGUUCAGGAGACGCCAGUAGUCCCCGUCAGUGGCUGAGGAAAUAAAAACAAGACACCUGAACCCUGAACCCUCUAGCCUGAAACCUGGAACCUGUACCUGCCUCCCGCCCCAUUCCUGUUCGGCUGUGGACUUCUAUUUGGACUUGCUACGCCAAUCUAGACCCACCUGGAUAUUCAGCCUGCCCCUGUGGGGACCCAGACCCGUCCGCUGGUAGGAAGAAGCCUGAAUCUGGCUGUCAUCGACCCGCAGGGACUCCAGGCCAAGAGGAGGACAGUCUGGAAGGAAAUGGAGAUCAAAUCUUCUGCGGUUCACCGCCAAGCUGAAGAGCUUCUCUCUCCACUCUGCGUUUGGACACGAUGUUUCAUCUUUCAUGAUUCACAUUGUCCUCCACCUCGCUUUGCUGGGAAACUUCUUUUUGUAUACUCUAUAACUCAACAUCUUCUCCAGCUUGUCGUGCUCCCAAAUCAUGACCUGCAGCACCUGCUGGUAACUCUAAAAUGUCUUCAAAAUAACUCCUGCUGCACCUCCUGGAAAACAUCAACAGCUGAGACCAUGUAAACUGUCCAAAUUACAAUAUAAAAACCAGACAGUCAAUAAAGAGAUUGUUGAUGUAUCUGUAUCAAACUGUUGUGUAUGUGUUGGAUGUGAAAAGCAA